AAACGUCAUCCGGCUAACAAACUCCCUCAACUCUCUCUUAAACGGCCAGCCUCUUUCUUCUCUUUUUCUUGGACCAACUAGAAUACGUCGGAGACGACGUCUGAUUCCGUCCGGCCGGCCGUAAUCCCAGACUAUUUUCUUAAUCCCUCAUGAGAUGCACUUCCGUAUGGGCAAGUGUUGAUUCGUCCAGCUUCGGUGCAGAGAGACAGGGACACUAGGAUACGGUUUGGAAUCUUUCUUAGAUACUACCUCUCGUUGCAGACCGUGUACCUUGGGAUCAUCACUUCCACCUUGGU